AGCGAACGCUGGCGGUAGGCCUAACACAUGCAAGUCGAACGGCAGAACAGUAAGUGCUUGCUCUUACGGGUGGCGAGUGGCGGACGGGAGAGGAAUACAUCGGAACCUACUUUUUCGUGGGGGAUAUCGUAGGGAAACCUACGCUCAUACCGCAUACGACCUACGGGUGAAUGCAGGGGAUAUUCGGACUUUGAGCGAUUGCAUGUGCAGCUGCCGGGUUAGCUCGUUGGCGGGGUAAAGGCCCACCAAGGCGACGCUCCGUAGCGGGCCGGAGAGGAGGAUCGGCCACAUGGGAACUGAGACACGGCCCGGACUCCUACGGGAGGCGGCGGUGGGGAAUAUUGGACAAUGGGCGCAGGCCUGACCCAGCCAGACCGCGUAGGGAAGGAGGGCCUUGGGGUGGUAAAGCCCUUUUGUUGGGAAAGAAAAGCAGGAGGGUAAUACCCUGCUGUUCUGACGGUACCCAAAGAGUAAGCACCGGCUAACUUCGUG
rnacentral:rRNA from 1 species